CGUAAGUGCUACGUUAGCCGAAGGUAAAGUGCACACUCAUUGUUUGCCUGGUGCUCGUGUUCUCGAUGUUUCUGCGCAGAUACCCGCGAUCCUGAAGGUCGACGAGAGCCCCAGAGCGGUCGUGCUUCACGCCGGUGUUAACGACACCACGCUGCGGCAGACGGAGACGCUGAAGAGGGACUUCAGCAGCCUGAUCGAGACGGUUCGCAGCAUGACGCCCGCGGCGACGAUCGUCGUGUCUGGACCACUGCCCACGUAUCGACGAGGACACGAAAGGUUCAGUAGACUUUUUUGCUUUAAAUGAAUGGUUGUUGUCAUGGUGUAAAGAACAGAAACUGCUAUUUGUUAAUAACUGGAAUCUUUUCUGGGAGCGUCCUAGGCUGUUUCGCGCUGAUGGAUUACACCCCAGCAGAAUCGGAGCGGAGCUGCUCUCUGACAACAUCUCCAGGACACUUCGCUCCAUGUGACUAGAUUUACACAAGCUCCAGUCUGGAUCCAGAACACCUGAGAAGAGAUGAUGCUGACCCUCAGAGGACCCCAGAUGAUGCUAACCUUGAAUCAACAAACAGAACUAACAAUUAUUGCUACAUGUGUGACUGCAUCAUAUAAUUACUAUUAAUUAAUAAUAUUGAUAGUUCAUCAUCUAGCUGACUACGUAUUGUAUUAUUAUUAUUAUUA